rnacentral:rRNA from 1 species
UACGGAGGGGACUAGCGUUGUUCGGAAUUACUGGGCGUAAAGCGCACGUAGGCGGAUUUGUAAGUCAGGGGUGAAAUCCCGGGGCUCAACCUCGGAACUGCCUUUGAUACUGCAAAUCUCGAGUCCGGAAGAGGUGAGUGGAAUUCCUAGUGUAGAGGUGAAAUUCGUAGAUAUUAGGAGGAACACCAGUGGCGAAGGCGG